CACCAGCCCCUCGAGUGKUGGGGAUGAUUAUUKGGCCUAAAGCRUCCGUAGCCGGYUCGGUAAGUCUCCCGUUAAAUCCAGCKUCUYAASCGAUGGGCUGCGGGAGAUACUGCYKGGCUAGAARGUGGGAGAGGUCAGCGGUAUUCWGGGGGUAGGGGUGAAAUCCUUUGAUCCCYGGAGGACCACCAGUGGCGAAGGCUGYUGACUAGAACACGUYUGACGGUGAGGGACGAAAGCUGGGGKAGCGAACCGGAUUAGAUACCCGGGUAGUCCCAGCCGUAAACGAUGCARGCUAGGUGUUGGGUUGGCYACGCGCCACCCCAGUGCCGCAGGGAAGCCGUUAAGUCUGCCGCCUGGGAAGUACGAUCGCAAGAUUGAAACUUAA
rnacentral:rRNA from 1 species